CCUACGGGUGGCAGCAGUGAGGAAUAUUGGUCAAUGGACGAGAGCCUGAACCAGCCAAGCCGCGUGAAGGAUGACUGCCCUAUGUGUUGUAAACUUCUUUUAUAUGGGAAUAAACUGUUCCACGUGUGGGCUUUUGUAUGUACCAUAUGAAUAAGGAUCGGCUAACUCCGUGCCAGCAGCCGCGGUAAUACGGAGGAUCCGAGCGUUAUCCGGAUUUAAUGGGGUUAAAGGGGGCGUAGGUGGGUUGUUAAGUCAGUUGUGAAAGGUCAGGGCGAAAACUUAGGAUGACAGUGGAAACUGGCAGUCUUGAGUACAGUAGAGGUGAGCGGAAUUCGUGGUGUAGCGGUGAAAUGCUUAGAUAUCACGAAGAACACCGAUUGCGAAGGCAGCUCACUGGACUGCAACUGACGCUGAGGCUCGAAAGCGUGGGGAUCAAACAGGAUUAGAUACCCUUGUAGUC
rnacentral:rRNA from 1 species